CAGAUUGAACGCUGGCGGCAUGCCUUACACAUGCAAGUCGGACGGCAGCACAGAGAAGCUUGCUUCUUGGGUGGCGAGUGGCGAACGGGUGAGCAAUAUAUCGGAACGUACCGAGUAAUGGGGGAUAACUAAUCGAAAGAUUAGCUAAUACCGCAUAUUCUCUGAGGAGGAAAGCAGGGGACCUUCGGGCCUUGCGUUAUUUGAGCGGCCGAUAUCUGAUUAGCUGGUUGGUGGGGUAAAGGCCUACCAAGGCGACGAUCAGUAGCGGGUCUGAGAGGAUGAUCCGCCACACUGGGACUGAGACACGGCC
rnacentral:rRNA from 1 species